rnacentral:rRNA from 1 species
GAUCCAGCCAUGCCGCGUGGGUGAAGAAGGCCUUCGGGUUGUAAAGCCCUUUUGUUGGGAAAGAAAAGCAGUCGGUUAAUACCCGAUUGUUCUGACGGUACCCAAAGAAUAAGCACCGGCUAACUUCGUGCCAGCAGCCGCGGUAAUACGAAGGGUGCAAGCGUUACUCGGAAUUACUGGGCGUAAAGCGUGCGUAGGUGGUGGUUUAAGUCUGUUGUGAAAGCCCUGGGCUCAACCUGGGAAUUGCAGUGGAUACUGGAUCACUAGAGUGUGGUAGAGGGUAGCGGAAUUCCCGGUGUAGCAGUGAAAUGCGUAGAGAUCGGGAGGAACAUCCGUGGCGAAGGCGGCUACCUGGACCAACACUGACACUGAGGCACGAAAGCGUGGGGAGCAAACAGGAUUAGAUACCCUGGUAGUCCACGCCCUAAACGAUGCGAACUGGAUGUUGGGUGCAAUUUGGCACGCAGUAUCGAAGCUAACGCGUUAAGUUCGCCGCCUGGGGAGUACGGUCGCAAGACUGAAACUCAAAGGAAUUGACGGGGGCCCGCACAAGCGGUGGAGUAUGUGGUUUAAUUCGAUGCAACGCGAAAAACCUUACCUGGUCUUGACAUCCACGGAACUUUNCAGAAAUGGAUUGGUGCCUUCNGGAAACCGUGANACAGGUGCUGCAUGGCUGUCNUCCACCUCNUGUCNUGAAAUGUUGGG